AAGUCGUAACAAGGUUUCCGUAGGUGAACCUGCGGAAGGAUCAUUAACGUAUCUCCGACGGGGUUGCGGUGCGCCCUGCUCCGACCCAAACGGGCCGUGCAGCGGGUUCCCGCCCCUGUCCACACCUCACAAACCCUGUGAACCUUCACGGCGGAGGGAAGGCAACUUCCCGAUGCCGCAUACCAAACCCCAGUUUGUAAAGAAUGUCGUGCGGGCUUUGAACCGCCUAAAACACAAAACAACUUUCAACAACGGAUCUCUUGGCUCUC
rnacentral:misc_RNA from 1 species